rnacentral:misc_RNA from 1 species
AACGCACAUUGCGCCCGCCAGUAUUCUGGCGGGCAUGCCUGUUCGAGCGUCAUUACAACCCUCAGGCCCCCGGGCCUGGCGUUGGGGAUCGGCGGACCCCCCCGUGGGCACACGCCGUCCUCCAAAUACAGUGGCGGUCCCGCCGCAGCUUCCAUUGCGUAGUAGCUAACACCUCGCAACUGGAGAGCGGCGCGGCCACGCCGUAAAACACCCAACUUCUGAAUGUUGACCUCGAAUCAGGUAGGAAUACCCGCUGAACUUAA